GACGAACGCUGGCGGCGUGCCUAAUACAUGCAAGUCGAGCGCAGGAAAUCGAUGGAACCCUUCGGGGGGAAGUCGACGGAAUGAGCGGCGGACGGGUGAGUAACACGUAAAGAACCUGCCCUCAGGUCUGGGAUAACCACGAGAAAUCGGGGCUAAUGCCGGAUGGGUCAUCGGACCGCAUGGUCCGAGGAUGAAAGGCGCUUCGGCGUCGCCUGGGGAUGGCUUUGCGGUGCAUUAGCUAGUUGGUGGGGUAAUGGCCCACCAAGGCGACGAUGCAUAGCCGACCUGAGAGGGUGAUCGGCCACACUGGGACUGAGACACGGCCCAGACUCCUACGGGAGGCAGCAGUAGGGAAUCUUCCACAAUGGACGAAAGUCUGAUGGAGCAACGCCGCGUGAACGAUGAAGGCCUUCGGGUCGUAAAGUUCUGUUGUAAGGGAAGAACAAGUGCCGCAGGCAAUGGCGGCACCUUGACGGUACCUUGCGAGAAAGCCACGGCUAACUACGUGCCAGCAGCCGCCGUAC
rnacentral:rRNA from 1 species